GCCGGAAACAAAUUCCUUGUGUGUGUAAACACUCUUGGCGAAUAAAGCUGAUGUUUAGAAAAUGUUUGAGACUGAAAAUUUUACUAAUUUCCUCAACACAGAACAAGAUCAACUGUUUCAGACCUGCAGAGAUCAAUAUUAAAGCUUUUAAACUGCAGUUUUAAUUAUUUUAAUGUAGCCGGUGGGCACUAGGACCUGGGAGGGUUGUGGGCUAAUAGGCAACCUGCCCCUUUAAGAAUAAAAAGAAGGUGACGAGGGGAGCUGCAGGUGAGCUCAUUAGUGGGCAGAGUACCUGGCCUCCAUUACGUGCUUGGGCAGCAGCAGCAAGAGAAGGUGUUGCUGGAUAGUGCAGUGUUUUAAUGAUUUAGCUGCUGUUGGUGUGCAUGUUGGAGAGGAGUGGAGACAGAGCAGAGAACUGUUUUGGGCAGGUGCUGCUGCUUCACUUGACUCUCAUCAUACAUUGGAAAGAGUAUUCAUUGUGCAAGUUCACAAGAAGGCUGGGGUGCUCCUGAUUUUCCCUUUCCCUCCAUGUGCUUCUCUCAAGACGGCAAGGGUAUGUAACAUUUUUAAUUUGGUUGAGCUAAUGAACAAAUAAAUAAAUAAAUGUUGAAUAAUUAUGUGUGUCUUGGCAGGACGUGUGCAUGGCUGAAAGUUGAGGAUAUUGGCCACUUUUCUGUUGUUUCCUGAUUUCUACUGUGUUUCUAAUCUUGUUUUCUAAUGUCAUUUCUACUGUUUUCUUAAUGGUUCUCUACUGUUUUUGAUGGUCCAUUUAUGGUUUUUUUUUUGAUAGUUUCUGUAUUUCUUUCCUUAUAAUUUCUGUAUUGAUUGCUUUAGUUUCUGCAGUUUCUUUGUUUUGUUAGUUUUUUUUGGUGCUUUAUUUAUUUAUUUGUUUGCAUUGUUUUCUGGCUAUGACUAUCUGCAUAAUUUAUUGUAGUAGCUAAGUUUUGUUUAAUUUUGUAAUUCUUUGUUUUUUUGGGUUCAAUUUUAUUAGUUUAUUUUCUUUUUUCAUUGGUUUCAGUAACUUUGUGGGGUUUUUUUUCCCAAUUAAUACUCUGCCAAACUUGAGUUUCUUUUCAUCUAGUGUGUUUUGUUGAACAGUAUUUUUGAAGUUACCAAAGAAAGAAUCCAAGCUAGUCCUCCCCAUUAUGGUUUGUUUGGUGUGGUGUGCAGUGUAGUGUUAAGCUGUGGGGUUUGUGGAUCCUUUAUUUUUGGUUUGCUUUAUUCCAUCCAAAACUGGUGUUCAUGUGCUAAAGCCAAGUAUUGUCAGUGUCAACCAAUUCAGUGGAGAUUCAUUGUGGGUUUUAUGUUUGUGUUUUGAUGAUUGUGAAUAAAAGUAUUUUUGAUAUCAAACUCUGCCUCUAUAGACUGUUUUAACACAGUCGGGAUCUGUGAAGGGGGAGGGCUUCA